CUUGCCUCACGGCAGUGAGUACAUGUAUCCUGGCACAUCGAAGCUCCAGCUAGACUGGGUUCUAAUAUUGCUGAUCUCUAACAGGACACUCUUGUAAAUGAAGCAUUAUCCUCAGAGAUUUUCUUGGCUGAAAAUGUAAGUAAUUAAAAAUGUAAACAAAUAUUAUCUGUUACAUAUGCUGCAAUA
rnacentral:lncRNA from 1 species